GGAAGGGUGCUAGAGAGGUUGAACAGGCUUGUCUUGAAAACAAGUGAGGGCGCAAGCUCUCCGUGGGUUCGAAUCCCACCCCUUCCG
rnacentral:tRNA from 1 species